UUAAUCAAUACAUAUAUCUACCUUAAUUUAUCAUUUAACUAUGAUAAAAAUAUGCUUUAUUGAUAUAAAUAUACUUUACAAAUAAGUUCUUGCCAUACAAUGUGUGGAUGAGUUUUCACUGGCCGGCUGUGCAAGAUGCAGAGAAGGGAUACUUUAUGAGUUAUAUAGCACUCCCUUAAUGAUAACGCAGUGCAGUGGCGGAGCCAUCGUUGUCGUGUGGAUGUAAAUUGACAUCCCUUUAUUGAUUAUAUAGCACUCCCUUAAUGAUAACGCAGUGCAGUGGCGGAGCCACCGUUGUCGUGUGGAUGUAAAUUGACAUCCCUUUAUUGGAAAAUUAUAUUAUGUAGAUAUAUAGGUUGGUCUUUCUUUUAUGUAUAUAUACUCUAUUCUUUUAUAUUUUAAAGUGAAAAUCCAAAGCCAUAUUCUUGAUACAAAGGGUUAGAACUCAGUAGCCAUUAAUAUAAUGCUCUUUCUGGUUAGGCUAAAGAUUAGUCUUUUCCUUUGUACAAAUUAAGUUUAAGAUGCAUGAAUAAUGAGAUUCAGAAUGUCACAUCUUAUAAAGAUUGUUACCUAGUAGGGUGACAAAUGAUUAAAUAUAAGAAUUAUUCUCACAAGAAGCAACAUUGGGAUCAUGCUUAAAUAGUACUAUACCCACUAAACUACUCUGAUCUACUAUCAAAGGAAAACAUCAAGUUCACUGAACUUUGUUUGUUGCCUGUUGGUCCUAUCGUGCAUUGGCCUUCUCAUACUUUUGUUUUUGUCCAUAUUUCUCAAAUUCAACCACCUUUGUGAUUUGACAUUUCACCCUGAGACACGAUUUUCCCUUCUAACUAGCUAAUUGUUUCUUGUUGGAAAGUAAAAUCAAAGAAUGUCUCUAGACAAUUAAAAUACAAGGGAUUCAGUUGAGCUAAAAGACUCUUUGUCAUCCCUAUUUAAUUUGUCCUAACAAUGGAUCAUAC
rnacentral:lncRNA from 1 species